rnacentral:miRNA from 1 species
GUGGGUGGCCUCAUAGUCUGAUU